AAUCCUACGGGAGGCAGCAGUGGGGAAUAUUGGACAAUGGGGGAAACCCUGAUGCAGCGACGCCGCGUGAAGGAAGAAGUAUUUCGGUAUGUAAACUUCUAUCAGCAGGGAAGAAAAUGACGGUACCUGACUAAGAAGCCCCGGCUAACUACGUGCCAGCAGCCGCGGUACUACGUAGGGGGCAAGCGUUAUCCGGAUUUACUGGGCGUAAAGGGAGCGUAGGCGGCGAUGCAAGUCAGAAGUGAAAGCCCGGGGCCCAACUCCGGAACUGCUUUGGAAACUGUGCAGCUAGAGUGCGGGAGAGG
rnacentral:rRNA from 1 species